rnacentral:rRNA from 1 species
GACCAGACUCCUACGGGAGGCAGCAGUGGGGAAUAUUGCACAAUGGGGGAAACCCUGAUGCAGCGACGCCGCGUGAGUGAAGAAGUAUUUCGGUAUGUAAAGCUCUAUCAGCAGGGAAGAAGUUGACGGUACCUGAGUAAGAAGCCCCGGCUAACUACGUGCCAGCAGCCGCGGUAAUACGUAGGGGGCAAGCGUUAUCCGGAUUUACUGGGUGUAAAGGGAGCGUAGACGGCAGUGCAAGUCUGAAGUGAAAGCCCCGGGCUUAACCCGGGAACUGCUUUGGAAACUGUACGGCUGGAGUGCUGGAGAGGUAAGCGGAAUUCCUAGUGUAGCGGUGAAAUGCGUAGAUAUUAGGAGGAACACCAGUGGCGAAGGCGGCUUACUGGACAGUAACUGACGUUGAGGCUCGAAAGCGUGGGGAGCAAACAGGAUUAGAUACCCCGGUAGUC